AAAGUAAACAACACGCGAGUUCUAGCUGGCACACACAGUCAGCGUGCGAAGGAAACUGCGAAGACGCGUCGUCCGUUAUCGGUUUCAAAAUUACUCAGAUGUCAGAUACAUAAAUAUAUACAUCUUUUUUCUUGUUCUUUUGAUUAACACACAUAUAAAAAGAGUAUUUGCUGCACUUCAACUCAGAUUUCCACUACCGCAUCCUCCUCCUUCAACUUGCAAUUUUUCGUCAUCAUUUCUUUGGGGGCAACUGAGUGGAGUGUUUUGACUUCUGAUAGGUUUUUUAGGGUUUCGCUUUAGGAGGCAUUUGGGUAGUCAAAUCUUGUCAAAAUUUUGGAUCUUUGAAGGUUGGUCGGUGGAAAUUGUAAAACCCUAUUUUUGUUCUUCUGCACCGCUUAUUGUUGUUGUUAUCUAUAUUUUCUUUUUUCUUUAUGGGGACUGAGGAUGGAACAAGCGAUGCUGAUAAAACGGAAUUUGAUGAACGAGUUCAGUGUUUGAAAGGUGCCGCAAUGGAUGGUGGGGUGGCAAUUGUGGAUGGGAAUUGUGUUUCUGAAGAGGGCCAGCUCUUGAAAAGUGAAGCCAUGAAUGUUGGGGUUGCAAUUGCUGAUGAAAAUGGUGUUGCUGAAGAGGGUAGGAUCUGGAAAAGUGAAACCUUUUGUAAUCGGGUGGCAGUUGCAGAUAAAGGGGACUCUGGUGGAGUUGAAUGUUUGCAAACAUAUAAGAGGCGUAAGAAGUCAAGUUCAAAAGGAGAAGUUCAGGAACAAUGCAGAAAAAACGUGGAAACUUCAACUCACAUAGCAGAUCAGGAUGUGACGAAACCAUGUGAUGUAGCCUUAUGCAAUACUUCAGAUGAUUGCUCCCAUGGACAGUGGGGAAAUAUUGUGCUAAAGCAUUUAUAUCAGUCAUUAGGUGAUGGCAAUGGCGGCAUAGAGGGGUGCAUAAGGGAAGCACUUAUUCAUUAUCCUAAACAUAAUCAUACCACUACAGUUAUGGAAACUUUUAAAAUUGACAAAGAUGGACAAGAAUGCUCUUUGCAAUUUGAGCCACUUUCUCAUAGAACAGAGAAGGAAGCUAAUGGGCAUGCAGAUGUCAUGUGUAAUGGAGGUUCUAGUGAAUCACCUGACCAUGGUGUGACUGAGAUGUGUCAGCGUGUGCUCUGUAAUGUUUUAACCUCAGAAAAAUUCAGUUCAUUAUGUAAGGCUUUACUUGAAAAUUUCCAGGGAAUGAAGCCUGAAAGUGUACUUGACUUUACCGUCAUGAAUUCAAGGAUGAAGGAGCAAGCUUAUGAACAAUCACCAACACUCUUCUUGUCAGAUAUUCAACAGGUUUGGAGAAAGCUUCAAGACGCUGGUAAUGAGAUUGUUGCUCUUGCCAAGAGCCUCUCUAACAUGUCAAGAACUUCCUACUCUGAGCUGGUGGGAAUUCCAGCACAGAGCACAUUUCAAGAUGAGAAGCAAGUGUACUCCAACCAGGAAUUUGACUGUUGCAUGAAACCAGAACAGACACAAGCAUGUGCUAUGUACAAAAUUUGCAGUUGCAAGUGUUGUGGAGAGAAGGCAGAUGGCACAGACUGUUUGGUUUGUGAUUCAUGUGAAGAGAUAUACCAUGUGUCCUGUAUUGAGCCUGCAGUGAAAGAAAUAAUACCUCACAAAAGCUGGUAUUGUGCCAAUUGUACUGCUAAUGUGAUUGAAUCUCUCCAUGAGAAUUGUGUGCUAUGUGAAAGGUUAAAUGAUGCAAAGACCCUGGAUGAUGUAAUUGGUGAUGGAAGCUUUCCUACAAUUGAGGAAACACAAAAUGAAUUUGAAGAGAAUUCAAAUUGCACCUCUGAUGGAAUUCAAGUUUCCAUAGGUGAGGAAAAAACACCCAAUUGCAAGAUAUGUGAAAAUGAAGUGGAUGGUGGAAAAAUAAAAAUAUGUGGCCAUCGGUUUUGCUCCAAUAAAUACUACCAUGUAAGGUGUUUAACAAUUAAUCAGUUGAAGUCAUAUGGUCAUUGUUGGUACUGCCCUUCUUGUUUAUGCCGGGUUUGCUUAACUGAUCAAGAUGAUGAUCGGAUUGUUCUGUGUGAUGGCUGUGAUCAUGCAUAUCACAUCUAUUGCAUGAAACCUCCGCGGACUUCUAUUCCAAGAGGGAACUGGUUCUGCAGAAAAUGUGAUGCUGGAAUACAAGCAAUCCACCAGGCUAAAAAGGCAUAUGAGUUUAACAAGCCAAGAAGAAAUGGUGAAGAUGCUGCAAAGCCAAAUGCCAAUCUUGAAAAGAAACACAACAAUAAACGUGCACGGGAAUUGGAAAGUGGUGGAGCAAUGGACAUGCUUUUAACUGCAGCCAAUACUCUGAAUUUUGAAGAGAAAGAGGCGGCAAGCCACAUCAAGUUACAGAGAACAUGAAUUUUGUGGUGGGCUUCGUUAACCUUCCAGUUAUUGUUAGUAGUGACUUUAACUUCAUAUUUGUUGACUGUUAAUACACAGUAUUUUGCAUUUGCUGCAUUUUUUGAAUGACUGAUAUUUUGGUAGGCUGUAAAACUUUCAUAGAUUUUCCGACAUUUUGAUACAUCACAUGGAAAGACAUGACUAGAGAGGCUAAAGAGCAAAAGGCAUAAUCUGAAGCUGCUCUAAGUGCCAUCUGUCAGAGUAAGCAGAUGUGGGCUUUGUUUUCUUCAGAUCUGAGAUUUUCCCCUUCAAAUCUGGGUUUUGCGUAAGUAUGUGUUUUAAGCUCUGCUCCUCAAAGGUGUUGUGCCUCAACAAAUGCGGCAGAAACAGUAAGAAAAUUCAUAGAUAUGAGAUUUUGCGACAGAGAGGUGUUGGACAUUCAUAGAUCCGAGUUUUUUCUUCUUCUUCCAGAUUUGGGUGUUUUGGAAACCUUUUAUGAUGGAUAAGUUGCGUGUAUAUGUUCAUUGAUGCUAUUGCUAUUAGAGGUUGUUAUUCGCUGGAAUUUCUUUACUGUUGCAGUGGAAUUUUUUUUUCUUCCCUAGUUUAAGCUGAUUAUGGAUGUCGUGUUUUAAUUGAAAUGGAGAUAAUAGAAAUUUGUAAUCGGGUGGAAAAGUUCCCCUUGUUCAUUGAUUGGCGUUUAUACAUGUCUUUAUAGCAUUGUUAAUUUCUGCACUUUCUUGAUUUGUAUAGUUAGGUUCUGGGGACAAAAUUUUGUAUUUAAUUUGGGAGCCAUGUGAAAGGUUCUGUGUACAAGCAUAAAUCAAUGUCUUUUGAUUCCA